UACAGAGGUCUCAAGCGUUGUUCGGAUUCAUUGGGCGUAAAGGGUGCGUAGGCGGCGCGGUAAGUCGGGUGUGAAAUCUCGGAGCUUAACUCCGAAACUGCAUUCGAUACUGCCGUGCUUGAGGACUGGAGAGGAGACUGGAAUUUACGGUGUAGCGGUGAAAUGCGUAGAUAUCGUAAGGAAGACCAGUGGCGAAGGCGGGUCUCUGGACAGUUCCUGACGCUUAGGCACGAAGGUCAGGGGAGCAAACGGG
rnacentral:rRNA from 1 species